UGAGGAAUAUUGGUCAAUGGACGGAAGUCUGAACCAGCCAAGUAGCGUGCAGGAUGACGGCCCUAUGGGUUGUAAACUGCUUUUGUAUGGGGAUAAAGUUAGGGACGUGUCCCUAUUUGCAGGUACCAUACGAAUAAGGACCGGCUAAUUCCGUGCCAGCAGCCGCGGUAAUACGGAAGGUCCAGGCGUUAUCCGGAUUUAUUGGGUUUAAAGGGAGCGUAGGCUGGAGAUUAAGUGUGUUGUGAAAUGUAGACGCUCAACGUCUGAAUUGCAGCGCAUACUGGUUUCCUUGAGUACGCACAACGUUGGCGGAAUUCGUCGUGUAGCGGUGAAAUGCUUAGAUAUGACGAAGAACUCCGAUUGCGAAGGCAGCUGACGGGAGCGCAACUGACGCUUAAGCUCGAAGGUGCGGGUAUCAAACAGGAUUAGAUACCCUGGUAGUCCGCACAGUAAACGAUGGAUGCCCGCUGUUGGUACCUGGUAUUAGCGGCUAAGCGAAAGCAUUAAGCAUCCCACCUGGGGAGUACGCCGGCAACGGUG
rnacentral:rRNA from 1 species